CAGCUUCCUGGGCUCAAGUGAUCCUCCCAUCUCAACCUCCCAAAUAGCUGGUUCUACAGAAUGGAGGUUAAUUAACAGACAGAGUCAUCUGGGUGGAGGACACCCUUUUGGGAUCAGCACUGAAUGUGAUGCCAUAUCCCACUCCAAACCAGCACAACUAUAAAUACUAAGCAGUGAGUGGUAUUCUGAAGACUUUGAAGGAGGAGCUAUUUCUGAAAAUAAAUUUAUUUUGUUGAAGAAUUUAACCAUUAAGCAA